ensembl:lncRNA
CUGUUCCAUCAACCAGAGUUCAAUAACAGAACUAUUCUCUGGACCGGGACACAGAACCACCGUCUGUUCCAUCAACCAGAGUUCAAUAACAGAACUAUUCUCUGGACCGGGACACAGAACCACUGUCUGUUCCAUCAACCAGAGUUCAAUAACAGAACUAUUCUCUGGACCGGGACACAGAACCACUGUCUGUUCCAUCAACCAGAGUUCAAUAACAGAACUAUACUCUGGACCGGGACACAGAACCACUGUCUGUUCCAUCAACCAGAGUUCAAUAACAGAACUAUUCUCUGGACCGGGACACAGAACCACUGUCUGUUCCAUCAACAAUGUAGAAACUUUAAAACAACAGUAAAACAGAAGCUUAACAGCCGGAGAAACAGCAGCCUGGCAGUAUAGUAGAGAAACAUCCCAAACGGUACCCUAUUUCCUGUAUAGUGCACAUAGAGCCCAAUGGGCCCUGGUCUGAAGUAGUGCACUAUAUAGGGAAUAGGGUUCCAUAGGGCUCUGGUCUAAAGUAGUGCACUAUAUAGGGAAUAGGGUGCCUUUGGGACACAACCCUAGGAGUUCUUGGGAGUGAACCCAGCUAAAAUAAAAAAGUAUGGGUUUAUCAUUGACAUCUGCUUCAUAUCCUUUAAGAUCUGUUGUUUGGAAUGCUUUCCCUGAUUGGCCCCAAAAUGAAUCAUGUAGAUUGAGAAAGACUGUUGAGAACCUCAGAUAACAUAUCGUUGUUGCUUUAGGUCAUGUGAUAGUAACCGUUAUUUUAUAGCAACUUUCCUAUACAAAAGUUAAUCGGAGCUACGCUGACCUGGGCAGCUGGUUAUAACCACAGUACUAGACUGAUCUGGGCAGCUGGUUAUAACCACAGUACUAGACUGAUCUGGGCAGCUGGUUAUAACCACAGUACUAGACUGAUCUGGGCAGCUGGUUAUAGCCACAGUACUAGACUGAUCUGGGCAGCUGGUUAUAGCCACAGUACUAGACUGAUCUGGGCAGCUGGUUAUAGCCACAGUACUAGACUGAUCUGGGCAGCUGGUUAUAACCACAGUACUAGACUGAUCUGGGCAGCUGGUUAUAGCCACAGUAC